rnacentral:rRNA from 1 species
UACAGAGACUGCAAGCGUUAUUCGGAUUCACUGGGCGUAAAGGGUGCGCAGGCGGCCGAGUGUGUGAGGCGUGAAAGCCCGGGGCUUAACCCCGGAAUUGCACCUCAAACUACACGGCUAGAGCAUUGGAGAGGGUAGCAGAAUUCAUGGUGUAGCAGUGAAAUGCGUAGAUAUCAUGAGGAAUACCAGAGGCGAAGGCGACUUCCUGGCCUGUUCUUGACGCUGAGGCGCGAAAGCUAGGGUAGCAAACGGG